GACGAACGCUGGCGGCGUGCUUAACACAUGCAAGUCGAACGGUAAGGCCCUUCGGGGUACACGAGUGGCGAACGUGUGAGUAACACGUGGGUGAUCUGCCCUGCACUUCGGGAUAAGCCUGGGAAACUGGGUCUAAUACCGGAUAGGACUCCUGGCUUCAUGGUUGGGGGGGGAAAGCUUUUGCGGUGUGGGAUGGGCCCGCGGCCUAUCAGCUUGUUGGUGGGGUACUGGCAUACCAAGGCGACGACGGGUAGCCGGCCUGAGAGGGUGACCGGUCACACUGGGACUGAGAUACGGCCCAGACUCCUACGGGAGGCAGCAGUGGGGAAUAUUGCACAAUGGGCGCAAGCCUGAUGCAGCGACGCCGCGUGAGGGAUGACGGCCUUCGGGUUGUAAACCUCUUUCAGCUAUGACGAAGCGCAAGUGACGGUAGUAGCAGAAGAAGGACCGGCCAACUACGUGCCAGCCGCCGCGGUAA
rnacentral:rRNA from 1 species